GAUGAACGCUGGCGGCGUGCCUAAUACAUGCAAGUCGAGUGAAUGGAUUAAGAGCUUGCUCUUAUGAAGUUAGCGGCGGACGGGUGAGUAACACGUGGGUAACCUGCCCAUAAGACUGGGAUAACUCCGGGAAACCGGGGCUAAUACCGGAUAACAUUUUGAACCGCAUGGUUCGAAAUUGAAAGUCGGCUUCGGCUGUCACUUAUGGAUGGAACCGCGUCGCAUUAGCUAGUUGGUGAGGUAACGGCUCACCAAGGCAACGAUACGUAGCCGACCUGGGAGGGUGAUCGGCCACACUGGGACUGAGACACGGCCCAGACUCCUACGGGAGGCAGCAGUAGGGAAUCUUCCGCAAGGGACGAAAGUCUGACGGAGCAACGCCGCGUGAGUGAUGAAGGCUUUCGGGUCGUAAAACUCUGUUGUUAGGGAAGAACAAGUGCUAGUUGAAUAAGCUGGCGCCUUGACGGUACCUAACCAGAAAGCCACGGUUAACUACGUGCCAGCCGCCGCAGUAA
rnacentral:rRNA from 1 species